UACGUAGGUGGCAAGCGUUGUCCGGAUUUACUGGGCGUAAAGAGCGCGCAGGCGGUCGGAUAAGUCGAAUGUGAAAGCCCCCGGCUCAACUGGGGAGGGUCAUUCGAUACUGUUCGACUCGAAGGCAGGAGAGGGAAGUGGAAUUCCCGGUGUAGUGGUGAAAUGCGUAGAUAUCGGGAGGAACACCAGUGGCGAAGGCGACUAUCUGGGCUGCAACUGACGCUGAGGCGCGAAGGCUAGGGUAGCAAACAGG
rnacentral:rRNA from 1 species